AUUUUCAUUGCCCAUAACAGGCUUUUUGACAUUCCAAUUAACCAUCACAAAUUUUAUGGAAGAAAUGAAGAAAAGUAUAGUGGAGUCCCUGUACUCCGCUGUAAAAAUAAGCGUACACCUCUUCCUUUUUUUUUUUUGACAAUCUUUCUUUUAUUAAUACUGCAAGUGAUAACAUACAGAAAAAAGAAACUGAGUUAAUGCAUACGGUUGCAAAACAGAG